ensembl:lncRNA
GUUACUAAGACAAUCCUAUAACCCUACCUGCAUGUUUGCAUAAUACCCUAACCCAAAGGCUCAGUUUAGCAUUUAUCCAACAGCACAGGCCCUGGAUUGUUGAAGAUGGCCUCAGGAACCAGCACAGGGCCUGGUGUGUUGUACAUGGCCACAGCUAGCAGCACAGGGCCUGGUUUGGUGAAGAUGGCCUCGGCCAGAAGCGCAGGACCUGGUGUGAUAUGAGUGGCCUGAGCAAGAGCCACAGGCCCUGGUGUGGUGUAAGUGGCCUGAGCAAGAGCCACAGACCCUGGUGUGGUGUAAGUGGCCUCAGCCAGCAGCCACAGGCCCUGGUGUGGUGUAAUUGGCCUCAAUAGCAACUAAGGCCCUGGUGUGGUGUAAUUGGCCUCAAUAGCAACUAAUGCCCUGGUGUGGUGUAAGUGGCCUCAGCCAGUGCCACAGGCCCUGGUGUGGUGUAAGUGGCCUGAGCAAGAGUCACAGACCCUGGUGUGGUGUAAUUGGCCUGAGCAAGAGCCACAGGCCCUGGUGUGGUGUAAGUGGCCUCAGCCAGUGCCACAGGCCCUGGUGUGGUGUAA